UACGGAGGGGGCUAGCGUUGUUCGGAAUUACUGGGCGUAAAGCGCACGUAGGCGGCUUUGUAAGUUAGAGGUGAAAGCCCGGGGCUCAACUCCGGAAUUGCCUUUAAGACUGCAUCGCUAGAAUUGUGGAGAGGUAAGUGGAAUUCCGAGUGUAGAGGUGAAAUUCGUAGAUAUUCGGAAGAACACCAGUGGCGAAGGCGGCCAACUGGCCCGAUACUGACGCUCAUGUGCGAAAGCGUGGGGAGCAAACAGG
rnacentral:rRNA from 1 species